rnacentral:lncRNA from 1 species
AAUCUCUCUCUUACUCUGUCUCUUUCUCUGUAUCUCCUAGCCUUUCUCUCAACGGCACUGGCAAAAUCGGGACUUCAUCAGGUAAACUCUCUCUCUUUCCCGUCUAAUCUUCAGCCAAGACAAGGGUUUCGAUUUUAAUCAGAGCUUUUCAUUCUCUUCACAAUUCUUUGUCAAAAUCUGCCGAGGUCUUAAUUAAGUACUGCUGCCGAGGUCUGCAAACAUACAUUAGGUUAAUAACGACACAAAUACCUAGAAAAUUUCUUUUCACUUCCAUAUAUAAUUGCAUAUAACGUGCAUAAUCUGAUAGUAAUGUGGUAGUUCCUACCAGUAAAAAGAGGGUGAGGGAACCUCAUACUCGGUGGUGCCUUCAAUUAUAAAGUACAGUAUAUAUUUACUGGUUAAUUUGUUGUUUAAUCCUUUUUAUUUCCUAAAGAAAAUUAAAUUUCGUUGUUUGUUUCUUGAGCAUUCAAUGUAGACUGAUCAUCUAAUUUUCUUGAGUAGCUAAUUAUAUUUGAUUUAGGAGAUAAGUUAUAUAGUCUAAAGAUCAAUUUAUACAGUAUAUAAAUUUAUACAGUAUAUCAAUUUAUACAGUAUACAUGUGUAUUUUGAUUGGUUUCCUCUAUCUUUCAUAUUAUCGUAUCAAGAGUUAAUAUUGUAAAUCAACAUUAUCAAAUUGAGUCCCUGGCCAUGUCGUAUCCCGAAUAGAUGUGCAUUUAGAAUUUUUAUAUUAGUUGGUGUGACUUGGAUAAGAGAGACGUGUCUCAAAAGUGGAUCUAAGAUUUUUAUAAUAUAGGUGCACCACUAAAAAAAGAGAAAAAGAAACUUUAAAGUAUGAAUUGAUCCCUACUCCUUCAGGUAAAUAACUCAUCAUUCAACCAAGUGCACCAUUUAGCCUCUUUGGAGCAUGGGUGCCAUCAGAGAAUACUAGACUAAUUCCAAUAAAAAUGUACAUAAAAUAUCUAGUUUGACGGAAAAAACAUGGGUUCACAUGCCACAUCAAUUUGCCUACAAAUCCGUCCCCGUCAGCCGGGCUUGGGCCGGUCCUGGCAGGCCUGGCGGGCCUAAACGGGUCCAACGACUAUUUUUUAAAAAAAAGUUUUUUUAUUUAAAAUAAGUAAUGGUCAUAUUUAAAAUAUAGCCUUUUGGGCUGAAAAUAUGUCCGUUUGGAAGUUUACAAAAUAGCCAUUUGGCCCCCAAACUUGGCGGAUCUAGGAUUUUUAUAACAUAGGUGCACCACUAAAAAAAAGAGGAAAAAAAACCUUAAAGUAGGAUUUGAUCCCUAGUCCUGCAGGUAAAUAACUCAUCAUUCAACCAAGUGCACCAUUUAGCCUCUUUGGAGCAUGGGUGCCAGCAAAGAAUACUAGACUAAUUCCAAUAAAAUUGUACAUAAAAUAUCUAGUUUGACGGAAAGAACAUGGGUUCACAUGCCACGUCAAUUUGCCUACAAAUCCGCCCUGACGUGUCCCAUAACAUGCCAUCACCUCCUCUGCUGUCAUUGCUGUUUUCUUGAUAAAAAAACUCUGUUACUGUUAAGAGUAUGAGAAGGAGAAGAGUAAAAACUCCCUUCAAUAUUAGUAUUGUCAGUCACAUUCUUGUUAGCUUCUUGACCAUGCCAGCUUAAGCCUGAUGGAUGAUCACAUUGCAAUUGAAACAAGAAAUCUGAAUUUUUUUGGAAAGAACAUUCUGCUCAAAGAUUGACAUUCUUCAUCAAAGAAAGCUCCCACAAAUUCCAUUGUGUUUUUAUUUUGAAAGGCUGGUAAGGAGGGGAGAAUGACCAGUGGCUUGCUAAAUAUAACCACUAAAUAUUCUCAAAAGUGAUACAUUGAUGCUUCUCUUCCAAUGAUCGAGUACAUUGGCAAACUUUAUCAUUCCAGAAGUAUAAGCUUGGAUUGGAGAUAUCAUACUUUUACUUGGAUUGGGAAUAAGCAACAACAAAUGACAUUAAUGCUUCAGAACCUCUGUGAUAGUAGGACCUUGCACCUCUUGUGUACGAGGUUAUUGGAUUAUACUUUUUAUCGGUAUUUGUAAAAUACUGGCAUGAUAUGAGUUUGUC